rnacentral:rRNA from 1 species
UACGAAGGGGGCUAGCGUUGUUCGGAAUUACUGGGCGUAAAGCGCGCGUAGGCGGACCUGCAAGUCGGGGGUGAAAGCCCGAGGCUCAACCUCGGAACUGCCUUCGAUACUGCGGGUCUCGAGUCCGGGAGAGGUGAGUGGAAUUCCUAGUGUAGAGGUGAAAUUCGUAGAUAUUAGGAAGAACACCAGUGGCGAAGGCGGCUCACUGGCCCGGUACUGACGCUCAUGUGCGAAAGCGUGGGGAGCAAACAGG